GAUGAAGAACGCAGCGAAAUGCGAUAAGUAGUGUGAAUUGCAGAAUUCCGUGAAUCAUCGAAUCUUUGAACGCACAUUGCGCCUUCUGGUAUUCCGGAAGGCAUGCCUGUUCGAGAGUCAUUAACAACCGUUUCGAUCCCUUUCUUUCAGAAAUUACAAAGAGGAAAAGGGUUUGGUUAUGGUGGAGGAGGGAAAGGGAGCGUUUAGCCUGUAAAAAAAGAGGCUGUGUUCCGCCUCCCCCCCAAAAUUGUACAGGCGGUCGUGUGCGCCCACGCAUCGAGGUGUUGUAAAAGCUGCCACGGCACUUUUCACCUGUGCAGUGCGAGAUUGGCCAGCCGGUUUAAAAACCCCUCCAAACCAUCAGAGGUUGACCUCGGAUCAGGUAGGGAUACCCGCUGAACUUAAGCAUAUCAAUAAGCGGAGGA
rnacentral:misc_RNA from 1 species